UGCCAGCCGCCGCGGUAAGACGGAGGGCCCAAACGUUGUUCGGAGUCACUGGGCAUAAAGCGCACGUGGGCGGCCUAUUAAGUCGGUUGUGAAAUCCCUCGGCUCAACCGGGGAACUGCAUCCGAUACUGAUAGGCUAGAGGACGGAAGGGGCGAGUGGAACUCCAGGUGGAACGGUGAAAUGUGUAGAUAUCUGGAGGAACACCGGUGGCGAAAGCGACUCGCUGGUCCGUAUCAGACGCUGAGGUGCGAAAGCUAGGGUAGCAAACGGGAUUAGAUA
rnacentral:rRNA from 1 species